rnacentral:rRNA from 1 species
CUACAGGCUUAACACAUGCAAGUCGAGGGGCAGCAUGGUCUUAGCUUGCUAAGGCCGAUGGCGACCGGCGCACGGGUGAGUAACACGUAUCCAACCUGCCGUCUACUCUUGGACAGCCUUCUGAAAGGAAGAUUAAUACAAGAUGGCAUCAUGAGUCCGCAUGUUCACAUGAUUAAAGGUAUUCCGGUAGACGAUGGGGAUGCGUUCCAUUAGAUAGUAGGCGGGGUAACGGCCCACCUAGUCUUCGAUGGAUAGGGGUUCUGAGAGGAAGGUCCCCCACAUUGGAACUGAGACACGGUCCAAACUCCUACGGGAGGCAGCAGUGAGGAAUAUUGGUCAAUGGGCGAGAGCCUGAACCAGCCAAGUAGCGUGAAGGAUGACUGCCCUAUGGGUUGUAAACUUCUUUUAUAAAGGAAUAAAGUCGGGUAUGGAUACCCGUUUGCAUGUACUUUAUGAAUAAGGAUCGGCUAACUCCGUGCCAGCAGCCGCGGUAAUACGGAGGAUCCGAGCGUUAUCCGGAUUUAUUGGGUUUAAAGGGAGCGUAGAUGGAUGUUUAAGUCAGUUGUGAAAGUUUGCGGCUCAACCGUAAAAUUGCAGUUGAUACUGGAUAUCUUGAGUGCAGUUGAGGCAGGCGGAAUUCGUGGUGUAGCGGUGAAAUGCUUAGAUAUCACGAAGAACUCCGAUUGCGAAGGCAGCCUGCUAAGCUGCAACUGACAUUGAGGCUCGAAAGUGUGGGUAUCAAACAGGAUUAGAUACCCUGGUAGUCCACACGGUAAACGAUGAAUACUCGCUGUUUGCGAUAUACUGCAAGCGGCCAAGCGAAAGCGUUAAGUAUUCCACCUGGGGAGUACGCCGGCAACGGUGAAACUCAAAGGAAUUGACGGGGGCCCGCACAAGCGGAGGAACAUGUGGUUUAAUUCGAUGAUACGCGAGGAACCUUACCCGGGCUUAAAUUGCAGAUGAAUUACGGUGAAAGCCGUAAGCCGCAAGGCAUCUGUGAAGGUGCUGCAUGGUUGUCGUCAGCUCGUGCCGUGAGGUGUCGGCUUAAGUGCCAUAACGAGCGCAACCCUUGUUGUCAGUUACUAACAGGUUCCGCUGAGGACUCUGACAAGACUGCCAUCGUAAGAUGUGAGGAAGGUGGGGAUGACGUCAAAUCAGCACGGCCCUUACGUCCGGGGCUACACACGUGUUACAAUGGGGGGUACAGAGGGCCGCUACCACGCGAGUGGAUGCCAAUCCCCAAAACCUCUCUCAGUUCGGACUGGAGUCUGCAACCCGACUCCACGAAGCUGGAUCCGCUAGUAAUCGCGCAUCAGCCACGGCGCGGUGAAUACGUUCCCGGGCCUUGUACACACCGCCCGUCAAGCCAUGGGAGCCGGGGGUACCUGAAGUGCGUAACCGCGAGGAGCGCCCUAGGGUAAAACUGGUGACUGGGGCUAAAU